GUCAUGGUAGGAAAUCCGUAGAAGAAGAAAUAAAAGGAAAAGAGGCUGCGAUGAAAACAAACCGAUCCUCUCAGAACACCUCUUUAUCUUAGCUUCUUCCACUAAAGCUGCCUUACUGCCUCACAGCUCUGCUUACAGUCAGACUCUACCUUCACCUCCUGUCUCUGACCUUUACUCUCUGUGACACGGAGAGCUGUACAGACAACAGUUAGCCUUUAGCUGACAGCAGGCUAACUUAGCUAGCUCGGCUCCUUCAGACGUUGAUUAAGUUUCAGAACAGCUCAGAGGAAACUUUCUUUAACUCUCAGGAAGCUGAAAGAUGGCGGAUGAUUAUGAAUUCACCGAUGACACCAGCAUGAUGAGGAUGGAGGAGGACGGGGAGGCGAACAGUGAUGACCCGAUGUCUGCGGACUGUGGCCUGAUGGGGGGCGAGGCCGAGGGAUCACGGAUCGACGCGAGUAAAAACGAGGAAGAUGAGGGGAAGAUGUUUGUAGGAGGGCUCAGCUGGGACACCACCAAGAAGGACCUGAAAGACUACUUCUCCAAGUUUGGAGAGGUUGUGGACUGCACUUUAAAACUGGACCCCAUGACUGGCCGGUCAAGGGGGUUUGGCUUUGUGCUCUUCAAAGAACCUGAGAGUGUUGAUAAGGUCGCCACUCAGAAGGAGCACAAACUCAACGGAAAGGUCAUUGACCCCAAAAAAGCCAAGGCCAUGAAGAGCAAGGAGCCGGUGAAGAAGAUCUUUGUGGGCGGUCUCUCUCCUGACACUCCUGAGGAGAAAGUCAGAGAAUACUUUGGUGCCUUUGGAGAGGUGGAGUCCAUCGAACUCCCCAUGGAGAACAAGACAAACAAACGGAGAGGCUUCUGCUUCAUCACAUUCACAGAGGAGGAGCCGGUGAAGGUGAUCAUGGAGAAGAAGUACCACAACAUCGGACUCAGCAAGUGUGAAAUCAAAGUGGCCAUGUCCAAGGAGCAGUACCAGCAGCAGCAGUACUGGGGAGGCCGAGGCGGAUACUCGUCCAGGUCUCGAGGCAGAGGUGGCGGUCCCAAUCAGAAUUGGAACCAGGGUUACGGCAACUACUGGAAUCAAGGCUACGGAAAUUAUGGGAAUUAUGGUUACAGUAAUCAAGGAUAUGGAGGAUAUGGUGGCUAUGACUACCCUGGUUACAACAACUAUUAUGGAUAUGGUGACUACAACAAUCAAUCUGGUGGAUAUGGCAAGUCGCCACGGCGUGGUGGCCACACCAACAGUUACAAGCCGUAUUAAAGGGGAUAAACCUCUUCUUCAAGUCGCGGAGCUUCCUUGCAGGCCAUGAGCUGACUCCCAGAUACUCUCAGGGCCCGCUCAAUGCGGACCGGGUACGAGAAGCAUACGCUCUCGAAUGCUGCCAUUUGGUUGUCAGAGCGAUGAAAGACGGCGUUGGCCGGGGAGAUGAUGCUAUCCAGCAAAAGCUGAUUGUAAGAAAAUAAACGAGGAGCACUUUGACCCACCAAACAUUUUCCUCUAAACGUACCGGAGUAUUCGUUGUCUCUUUAAAUCUUUUGGGAUUUUUUGGUGUUUUUGCAUUUCUUUAGACUCCUGCAGUUUGCGUUCCUCAUCCCUCCCUGUUUUUUGUAUUUAUUGUUCUCUUACGCUUCUUGUGAAUUGCUUCAUUUAUUCAGUGAAGGAAACGAUAGAUUGGUUGGAGAAAAAGAAGAAAAAAAAAAAUCACACAUAUAUAAGUCAUGUGGUAGAAAAAAAAAAUGCUCUGUUGCGAUUUAUCCUCCUUAUCAUAAUCAUCAGUCUUAUAAUACAUGUGUUAUUACAGAGUUUGACAGCAGUAUAUACACAGGUAAUUAAACAAUAUGAAAUGCAACAAUAAAAAAAGAUUGAAACAUC